rnacentral:rRNA from 1 species
GACGAACCGUACGAACGUUAUUCGGAAUUACUGGGCUUAAAGGGUGCGUAGGCGGCGCAGUAAGUUGGGUGUGAAAUCCCUCGGCUUAACCGAGGAAUUGCGCCCAAAACUACUGUGCUCGAGGGAGAUAGAGGUGAGCGGAACUUAGGGUGGAGCGGUGAAAUGCGUUGAUAUCCUAAGGAACACCGGUGGCGAAAGCGGCUCACUGGAUCUCUUCUGACGCUGAGGCACGAAAGCUAGGGUAGCAAACGGG